GAUGAAGAACGUAGCGAAAUGCGAUAAGUAAUGUGAAUUGCAGAAUUCAGUGAAUCAUCGAAUCUUUGAACGCACAUUGCGCCCGCCAGUAUUCUGGCGGGCAUGCCUGUUCGAGCGUCAUUACAACCCUCAGGCCCCCGGGCCUGGCGUUGGGGAUCGGCGAGGCGCCCCCCGCGGGCACGCGCCGUCCCCCAAAUACAGUGGCGGUCCCGCCGCAGCUUCCAAUGCGUAGUAGCUAACACCUCGCAACUGGAGAGCGGCGCGGCCAUGCCGUAAAACACCCAACUUCUGAAUGUUGACCUCGAAUCAGGUAGGAAUACCCGCUGAACUUAAGCAUAUCAAUAAGCGGAGGA
rnacentral:misc_RNA from 1 species